rnacentral:rRNA from 1 species
AAUUGGAGCCCAUGAAGGAUCUGAAUGGAGCAUAUGUAUGCAUGCUACGGUUCAUAGAGGGAGAGGCACAACCUCUGCCACACCGAAGAGAUGGACGACGGCUUCCAUGAAGAAAUUCGUCGAAGUGACUCCGAUGACCCACAGAUUUUAAGGGAACACCGCCCUGCCGAAAAGCUGACCAUUCGAGCUAGCCACACUGUGAAAGGGCCAAGCAAUAACAACCUGAUAUACAUCAGUUGACGAUGAAG